UACGAAGGGGGCUAGCGUUGUUCGGAAUUACUGGGCUUAAAGAGUUCGUAGGCGGCGCAGAAAGUAGGGUGUGAAAGCCCUCGGCUCAACCGAGGAAUUGCGCCCUAAACUACUGUGCUUGAGGAACCUAGAGGUGAGCAGAACAGAUGGUGGAGCGGUGAAAUGCGUUGAUAUCAUCUGGAAUACCGGAGGCGAAGGCGGCUCACUGGGGGUUUUCUGACGCUGAGGAACGAAAGCCAGGGGAGCGAACGGG
rnacentral:rRNA from 1 species